GUUCAGGGUCAACAGUUUCAAUUCAAUUUCGUUAUUUUCGUUUCCUUCCUUCCACUCCACCGUUUCUUCUUGAUUUUCGCAAUUCACAGCGACUGAGCUCGCUCACCAUCGCUCAAUCCUCACUCGUCUCGGCUCCGAAACUCCCUGAUAUGCACCGCAAAAGUGUCUCGGAUCUCUCAGUUUAUGAGCUUAGUUCGUUCGCUUCUUGCCUUAUAGAGUCAGCUGUUCAGCUGCAAGUUCCCAUUCGUUCUUUGGUUUCUGUCUCGUCCAGUCUAAGGGGUUUCAGAGAAGCGAAUAGCGCAGAUGAUUCAUGGGUUCAUCGUGAGAUUUCCUUCCGUCGUGGCAAACAGCAUAAGUGCAGUCUCAACAAGGGAGUGAAUGGUCGUGCUGUGCCUGCUUUGUCCAAUGGUGCCAGAGAAAAUAUUGAAGCUCUCUAGCUCCGACGUUGUAUCCAAGACUCCUUCAAGCUCCUCCUCCAUGCCCAGAUCCCUGAAGAUCUGCACAUUCAUUGAUUUGUCCCUCAUCAUCCAGAUUGCCAGCUCGAUAGCAAACCUUCUCAUUCUCGGCACCUUUGUAUGCGGGUUCCGGUGGCUCCUCAGGAUCUCGACCAAAGCGCAAGCUACUUCGGCUUCUCUAAACCCCGCCCUCUCGAAGACGGCGGUCGAUUCUUCUGCUGUCAUGAACUUGAAAGCAUGUGCCGCUAGCCCAAUCAUUACCUCUUGGAGUUUGCCUUCUUCUGACAAGAUUGCAUUGAAAGCCUGAGUUGAGGAAAUAUGGUUAGGUAGAAACAAUUAAUUUCAUUCUCUAUAGGACAAUUUAAACUUGCACAUGACUGCCCUUUCCAGAUGCCGGCUCAGCUUCAGCUUUUGCAAAAGAAUGCACUUACUAUUGGUACCACUGCUGUUACUCCCUUCAGCUGGUUGAAGAACACUGGUCCACUGUAAGUGCACAGAUUCCUCAAAAUUCUUCCAGCAUUAACACGAAGAAGCGGAAUCUCCAAUGCUUCUAUGAGCCUCCCCACUACAUUUAACUUCAAGAUUCGAUGACAGUUGCUCUUGCUUUCGAAAGCCAGCAUUGCCAGGCCUUCUCCAGCCAUGGUCCUCACAUCCCUUUGAUCUUCUGGUACGCCAUGUUGGAAGAAAAUCUUUAACAGUUCUUUCAGAACUCCACCGGUCUCUCCUAUUCGCUCCGACGCAUCGCCUUCUAGUGCCAAACUGAUUAUCUCAGAAAUCUCUCUCCGGAGAUUUUUCCCGGUGGUACCUGUUGUGCUUGCCAGCCUCUUCAAAAGCUGUAAGGACCUUUUAACAUUCAAAACCUGCGAUGUGGUGACACUAGAGUCCUUCAACAUUCUUUCAUCAGCAUGAGUGAAAUCUAUGAUUUUAGGUAGAAGGCCCCUUGUGUUUCCAAUUUUUCCGCAGUUAUCGUGAUCACGGGAUAGUUUCUUCAGAAUGAGAAGUCCCAUAUUAUUGAAAUUCCAGUAUCCAUAGUCUUCAUGGUCAAAGAUGACUUCCUUUUCACCAAUUUCAUCUGCUGCAGAACUGGGGCUUCUGUUUGUCUGGAGAAGAGACGAUAUCGAUUCCAUUGCCCCGGGUAUUCCAGCGACCCGAAGGGAGUUUUGCUUUUUCCCAGCUAAUUUGGACACUAUUUCUGCUGCUGAUAGCCUGAUUUCUUCCUCUUGGGGGUCUUUCCAGUUUAAGAUCUCCACCAGUCUCUCUAUAACUGGCAGAGUUGUUCCUAUCUUUUGAAGCGUGGCAUCUGAAAACCGUUCUUUCGUAGAAAACCGAUGAAGAAUCCUAGCUCCUAUGAGCUGCUCAUCCGGCAAGUUUGAACAUAAGAGAUCCAUCGCAAAAGUCACCAUAUCCAUUCCCAGGCCAUCAAAAAUGCUCCCAUUAAGACAUCUUGAAUAGGAGUCGUAGAAAAAUCUCCGAGUCAAGAUCAUACCUGAAGCCCCCAGAUCGCAUUCCUCAUUCGCCUGUUCGAGAAGCUUACAGAUGACAACCUUCCACUCCCAGUAAAGUUUCUCUGUCAGGACGACCAGAGCUUCUGCCAAAGCCAAGGCAUAAAAGAUAUACAGAGCAGCUUUCCCGUUCCUCUUGUCGGUGUGUCCUGCAGAUACCUCACCAAAAUUGUGCUUGAUGAGCUUCAUCAAUGAGAGCACGACGCAGGCUAUCGCAGAUAAGAGCUGAAGCCAAUAGAGAAUCUUGCUGACGUUUCUCGAAAGGAAAAUCCACCCUGCAUAAGGGCUUACGGGGCUCAACAUAUCCUUCACGGAUUCAACUAGAGCUCUGGAGCUCGAUCUGAGCACUCGGAAACUGCUAAUUCCGGCAUCAGCUAUUGACCAUGUGGACUGGUGUUGCCAUGCCAGCUCAUGACUCCUGCUGAAUAUUCGAGCUCCUUCAAUUAAUAAAAUGAUGGUGAUGAACCAGAAGUCGGUUUUGCCUAGGGUAUCGGCAAAGCCCCCCAGGAGUACAACAGUCGCCCAGAUGAAACCAAGGGUUCCCAGGCCAGUGGCCGCUUUUUCGAGAACUGCAAGGCGGAGAGCAAACAGAGUCAGCUUUUUCUCCGGGGCUGAAACAACUGGCAGCGCAGGGGAAACAGAGUUUCCGCUGCUUCCAUCUCUCCUACCAGCACUAGUUUGUGGCUCAAAGAUUGUGGCGGGUGAAAUGAUGGUUUCAUUUUUCUUCUGAAGCUGGGGAAUAUCCAAAUGAAUGCUGCUUUGACCUUCAGCGGAGCUCUUGAUCGUCAUUUCGCAGUCUGGAGUGGCUCAAGGACCGACGCUUCUGUAUACGUCAAAUCAGCCGAGGAAAACUUCUAUCUAGCAGUUCAAUGGAACCUGAAUUCAAUUUCCAAAAGUUCUGUUUAUGAAUUUCCUGGAUUGGGACGAGAAAGAACAGCUAUGCCUCUAUAAGAGGGUGGUGGGAAUAAGUGGAUCUAGCGGAGGAAAAGUAAGGUUAACCAGCUUCUAUUGCCAACCUUCCUGGAAGUUCUCUUGCUCUUGGACCAUAUUCCGAUAUCGUUGGCUUGUUUACUUCUAAAGUUCCAUUGACGAGCUUUCUUGAUUGCCCGAUGAAGAUCUCGUGCUCUCUUUCCGCAUGUCGGAGCAACGCGCUUGCUACUUGGUGACUGCUUUGGCUUGUGUUGAACAAAACUUGUCCAAGAGAGAAGACAAGUUUGAGACAGUAUUUGAUUCUGCUUGAGGAGCAUAUGCUUAAGCUCCUCAUAUUAUAAUGAAUGAUCAGGGUCUGAGUUCUAUACGCCAUGCUCAGCUCCUUGGAAGGCGUCGACGUCAACCUCAUUGAAAGGAAGAUUAGUCACUAAGUUGAACCUUCAAAGCCUCCUUUUUCUUCGGGUCUCUCUGUGCAUGAGAGUCAUCCGGUCAACUGUACUGUUAAUAUUCAUAAUCAAUCGGUCCAGUUUGGAAAUCGCCACAUUACUUGUGGGCAA